GUUGAACAAUUAGAGAUGACAAUCAAGUGCAACAAGAUAACGGAGCAUAGGUUCAUAAUUUAAAUGCUCAAAACUUUAACAUUGUUCACGUUCAUUGCCAUCUUCAUCAAACUUCCUAACCCCAGAUAGUUAACAAAACUAUGUUUCUGGAAUACAUUGAUAGCACAACUAACCAAGACCUCAACCAAAACAUUUGGAUCAGAAAGAUAUGAAAUGGAGACAUUCAAGGCAUGGAUCUUCAGGCGGUUUCAGUCACAGGGUACUCAAAGACAACGUCUUUCCCACAAAGCCUGCGGUAGACUGCAGAGAAGGUCUCCAGCUUGUAUUCAGUGUUGUUGCGCUCCUUUGG
rnacentral:lncRNA from 1 species